GCCCUCAUCACUCCCUUGUAUUUACCUAGUCACCCUCCCUGUCUCUGAGGGUAUGGGGGCCAGAUGGCUCUUGCUGCCCUGGUGUUUUGGGGGGUCUGCCUGGGCCCCUCCUGGUGUGUCACAGGCAUCCGGUCCUGGCCCCCUAGGAGGCAGCAUGGCGGGAGCUGGAGGCCGAGCGGGCCCAGCUGCAGAGUCAGCUGCAGCGUGAGCAGGAGGAGCUGCUGGCCCGGCUGGAGGCUGAGAAGGAAGAGCUGAGUGAGGAGAUUGCUGCCCUGCAGCAGGAGCGUGAUGAGGGCCUCCUCCUGGCUGAAAGCGAGAAGCAGCAGGCCUUGUCUCUGAAGGAGUCUGAGAAGACGGCGCUGUCAGAGAAGUUGAUGGGUACACGGCACAGCCUGGCCACCAUCUCCCUGGAGAUGGAGCGGCAGAAACGAGAUGCCCAGAGCCGGCAGGAGCAGGACCGGAGCACCGUGAACGCUCUGACGUCUGAGCUGCGGGACCUACGGGCCCAG
rnacentral:sRNA from 1 species